UGCCCAGCAACUCGUAUCCCUACCACCUCGUUGUACUGGCCGGGGUACGAGUAACCUUGGGGAAGAUCGGGUAACCAACCAAACCCCGGUGGGAACUUUGGUCGUAUGCUGACAGGGAAGG
rnacentral:ribozyme from 1 species